GCCCUCGUAACUCAGCGGCCAGAGUGCCCGCCUGUCUAGCGGGAAGUCGGGAGUUCGAUCCUCCUCGAGGGCGCCA
rnacentral:tRNA from 1 species